AGUGGCGGACGGGUGAGUAACGCGUGAGAAUCUGCCUUGGGGUCGGGGACAACCACUGGAAACGGUGGCUAAUACCGGAUAAGCCGAUUGGUGAAAGAUUUAUUGCCCGAAGAGGAGCUCGCGUCUGAUUAGCUAGUUGGUGAGGUAAGAGCUCACCAAGGCAGCGAUCAGUAGCUGGUCUGAGAGGACGAUCAGCCACACUGGGACUGAGACACGGCCCAGACUCCUACGGGAGGCAGCAGUGGGGAAUUUUCCGCAAUGGGCGAAAGCCUGACGGAGCAAGACCGCGUGAGGGAGGAAGGCUCUUGGGUUGUAAACCUCUUUUCUCAGGGAAGAAGCUCUGACGGUACCUGAGGAAUCAGCCUCGGCUAACUCCGUGCCAGCAGCCGCGGUAAUACGGAGGAGGCAAGCGUUAUCCGGAAUUAUUUGGCGUAAAGCGUCCGCAGGUGGCGAUUCAAGUCUGCUGUCAAAGCACGGGGCUUAACUCCGUAAAGGCAGUGGAAACUGAAUAGCUAGAGUGCCGUAGGGGUAGAGGGAAUUCCCGGUGUAGCGGUGAAAUGCGUAGAGAUCGGGAAGAACAUCGGUGGCGAAAGCGCUCUACUGGACGGCAACUGACACUCAGGGACGAAAGCUAGGGGAGCGAAUGGGAUUAGAUACCCC
rnacentral:rRNA from 1 species